GCCAAGGUAGCUCAGUUGGUAGAGCAUGCGACUGAAAAUCGCAGUGUCCGCAGUUCGAUUCUGCGCCUUGGCACCA
rnacentral:tRNA from 1 species